rnacentral:misc_RNA from 1 species
AACCUUAUGGACCUGCGGGCGUAUACCUGCGGAAGGAUCAUUACCGAGUUAUACAACUCAUCAACCCCUGUGAACUUACCUACAACGUUGCUUCGGCGGGAACAGACGGCCCCGUAAAACGGGCCGCCCCCGCCAGAGGACCCCUAACUCUGUUUUUAUAAUGUUUUUCUGAGUAAACAAGCAAAUAAAUUAAAACUUUUAACAAUGGAUCU